CUGUACCUUAUUUUAUUCCACACGCAGAGGGGCUGUCUGAAGUGGUGAUGUUGUGAGAAAAGGAAGAAUGAGGGAAGAAAGAAAGAAGUAACAGAAAUGGAAAGAAGGGACGGAUGAGGGACAGAAAUGAAAGAAUGGAUGGACAGAAAUGAAAGAAGGGAUGGACAGGAAUGAAAGAAGGGAUGAACAAAAAUGAAAGAAGGGAUGGACAGGAAUGGAAAGAAGGGAUGGACAGAAAGGAAAGAAGGGAUGGACAAAAAUGAAAGAAGGGAUGGACAGAAAUGGAAAGAAGGGAUGGACAGAAAUGGAAAGAAGGGAUGGGCAGAAAGGAAAGAAGAGAUGGACAAAAAUGAAAGAAGGGAUGGACAGAAAUGGAAAAAGGGAUGGAUGAUGGACAGAAAUUAAAGAAUGGAUGGACAGAAAUGGAAAGUUGGUACAGACAGAUGUGUAGGUGUGUUUCCAUGGUAACACCUGGUCACUGCUGUGUUUUAUGGCUUUCUAUUCCUAUGUGAUUUUCUCUGCCAUGUCACAUAGGGUUCAAAGCCAUUGGGUACAGAGUGAAAGCUCGACACAACAACAACAACGGGGAAAGUAGAACCACAAAGUCCAACCCAAAUAGCACUAACUCUUUAGCUAGAAGCCCAACAUCCAGACUCCUGGAAACACACACACAAAACUCCUCGCCAUGUGGAAUAGCAACAUCAGCAAAGUUAGCAUCCUUGCAGUGUGGGUGAAGGAGUCUGACAAAAAUUGCUCACACAAACACAAGCUCUCUUCAAACUGGAACUGUUAAGUUUUUGACCAGAAGGGCACGGCACAUCUCAAGCAAUACUGAAAGUAUGGGGGGGGGGGGGGGGGGGGAGGAGAAGAAAGAAUUUCAAUGCAAGAAUUUUUAACAAUAGAUAUAGAAUGAAAAGCAGGAUGUAACAAAAGGACAAACAAACGUACAAAACAAACAAAUCACUAUGAGACCACUGUAAACAGAUCUCAAACUUACAAAAGAAAGAAAGAAAAAAUUACAUUUCUUUUGCGUUUUUUAACAAUAGACAGAAUGAAAAGAAGAAUGUAGCAAAAUCAGAAACAUCAAAUGUACAAAAGGAAGGCACAAAGAUAUUUGGCAGGAAAGAAGGAAAGAAAAAUUAUAAACAAAUUGCAAACAAGCAACACAUGUACAAACAAAACAAAGAAAGAAAUUGCAACCAUCAAGCAAAACAAAGGAAGGAAUCCAUAAAUCAAAUGAUAACACUGAAGCCAUUUUAGUGGUCCCACUAAGCACAGUUGAGGAUCAUGAAGGUGAGGCUGAAUCGUCUCUAUGAUGCUUCCUGAUGCUCUGUGAUGUUCUGUAGUGAAGGAUAAAUCUUCCACAAUUACAGGGUUCAUUUGGUUGAUAAUGCCUCUCAGGAGGAAGUGCAGUGCAGUCACACGGCUGAGGCAGAUUGUCUUCGCUGUUAUUUUUCCACCAUUUUUCAAACACUGACAGUUCAGCAGACUGCAUACAGCAAACACGGUGAAUCAUUACCACAAACCGCUCAUGUUCUGUCAGAGAGCGGUGUAUUCGAUCACCUCCCUGUGCGUUACAGAGCAUGAGUGAGUGUGUGUGUGUUUUGGGUUCGGUGUCAUAUUUUUUGUCAUCACGUCCCUAAUUAACAGCGGUACAACAGUGGCGUUCUCAUUACAGCUCGUUUCCUCAGUCUGCUGCGUUAGCGUGGAUUACUGCACAGCCUAUACAUUUCAGCGCACAGGAAACGCACGUAGCUCCUGCGCUAAUGCGAAUGCGUGUUGGUAAUGCGGUUUGCAUCGAGCUGCCGAGCGCAGUCAUGCUUUUAAUGCGCUAAUUAAAAAGUGCGCCUGACGCUCAAUGCAAGAGCUUGUCUUGCUGCUGAUGUGUGUGACAUUAUUGGUGCUCAGGAAGUGGCAGGCAUGCGCAACGGUGCCAGAAAUACUAGCUGAUUAUCUCUCUCUCUCUCUCUCUCU
ensembl:lncRNA